AUUGAACGCUGGCGGCAGGCCUAACACAUGCAAGUCGAACGAGUGGCGGACGGGUGAGUAAUGCCUGGGAAACUGCCUGAUGGCGGGGGAUAACUACUGGAAACGGUAGCUAAUACCGCAUACCAUCAGAUGUGCCCAGACGGGAUUAGCUAGUUGGUGGGGUAACGGCUCACCAAGACGACGAUCCCUAGCUGGUCUGAGAGGAUGACCAGCAACACUGGAACUAGGACACGGUCCAGACUCCUACGGGAGGCAGCAGUGGGGAAUAUGACACAAUGGGGGCAAGCCUGAUGCAGACAUGCCGCGUGUAUGAAGAAGGCCUGCGGGUUGUAAAGUACUUUCGGCGGGGAGGCGUUACCCGCAGAAGAAGCACCGGCUAACUCCGUGCCAGCAGCCGCGGUAAUUC
rnacentral:rRNA from 1 species